GAUGAAGAACGCAGCGAAAUGCGAAAAGUAAUGUGAAUUGCAGAAUUCAGUGAACCAUCGAAUCUUUGAACGCACAUUGCGCCCGCUGGAACUCCGGCGGGCACGCCUGUCCGAGCGUCAUUUCAACCCUCAGGCCCCCCUUCGCGGGCGGGCCUGGUGUUGGGGCCCGGCCGCUACCCUGCGGCCGUCCCCUAAAUUCAGUGGCGGCCUCGCCGUGAUCCCUUGCGUAGUAAUGCACCUCGCACCGGAGAGCGCCGUGGCCACGCCGUAAAACCCCCAAUUUUCAAUGGUUGACCUCGGAUCAGGUGGGAAUACGCGCUGAACUUAAGCAUAUCAAUAAGCGGAGGA
rnacentral:misc_RNA from 1 species